CCCUGUCCUUGCAAAAGCAGAUGGAACAUGCUAACCAGCAGACUGGCUUCUCCGACUCAUCCUCUCUGCGCCCCAUGCACCCCCAGGCUCUGCAUCCAGCCCCUGGACUCCUUGCUUCCCCCCAGCUCCCUGUGCAGAUGCAGCCAGCAGGAAAGGUAAGAAUGGUAAUAGAAUUUACCUGUCAGAAUCCCUACACUAGGGAUCCGGAAAAGCAGGAUUAGGUAGGACAGGUGGCCCACAUCAUCUGGUUUUUCCUUCCUCUUUGGGGGUGGUUAUCAGUAGGGUAUUAAGUGGAAGGGAGAGUAUGCCCAGUGACAAAGCCCUCUUUUCAUCACCACCACCAGUCGGGCUUUGCAGCUACCAGCCAACCUGGCCCUCGGCUCCCCUUCAUCCAACACAGCCAGAACCCGCGAUUCUACCACAAGUGACCAUCAGAUUAUAUCUUCAACACCACACCCCCCACCCCAUCGUGGGUGAGGGUAUCCCCUGUGUGUCCCAGGCCAAUAAAAUCUACCUGCCACUG
rnacentral:lncRNA from 1 species